UUAGAUUAAAACCAAUCGGGCCUAGCCCGUCAAUUGGUGACUCUGAAUAGCUAUGGCUGAUCGCAUGGUCUCGUACCGGCGACGUGUCUAUCAAGUGUCUGCCUUAUCAACUUUCGAUGGUAGUUUAUGUGCCUACCAUGGUUGUAACGGGUAACGGAGAAUAAGGGUUCGACUCCGGAGAGGGAGCCUGAGAAACGGCUACCACAUCCAAGGAAGGCAGCAGGCGCGCAAAUUACCCACUCUCGGCAUGAGGAGGUAGUGACGAAAAAUAACGAGACCGUUCUCUUCGAGGCCGGUUAUCGGAAUGGGUACAAUUUAAACCAGUUAACGAGGAUCUAUGAGAGGGCAAGUCUGGUGCCAGCAGCCGCGGUAAUUCCAGCUCUCAAAGUGUAUAUCGUCAUUGCUGCGGUUAAAAAGCUCGUAGUUGGAUCUGCGCCUCAGGACCCGGUCCGUCCUUUGGACGAGAACUGGGAUCCUAGGCUAGUACUGUCGGUUUUCCCUGCGUUACCUUGAUUGGUCGCGCAGGGUGGCCGGCGAGUUUACCUUGAAAAAAUUAGAGUGCUCAACGCGGGCUGACGCCUGAAUACUCGUGCAUGGAAUAAUGAAAUAGGAUCUCGGUUCUAUUUUGUUGGUUUUCUGAUCUGAGAUAAUGGUUAAGAGGGACGGACGGGGGCAUUCGUAUCGCUGCGUGAGAGGUGAAAUUCUUGGACCGUAGCGAGACGCCCGACUGCGAAAGCAUUUGCCAAGAAUGUCUUCAUUAAUCAAGAACGAAAGUCAGAGGUUCGAA
rnacentral:rRNA from 1 species